CCUUGGGAGAGUUAUAAAAACUGAAGUAGCCUUUAGCAAAACAGGACUCGAUGAAUAAGGAA
rnacentral:sRNA from 12 species